rnacentral:tRNA from 13 species
UGUGGGUUCAAGUCCUGCCCCUCCUG